rnacentral:lncRNA from 1 species
UUGAUAAAAUCUGAUGACAUUCUCUGAUAAUAUACUCUGUUUGCUUUACUCUGAUAACAUUCUCUGAUAAUAUUCUCUGAUGCUUCUACAACUCUGAAUCUUGAUAAGCAUUUUUUUAUCUUCUCUGAGACAAAUCACCUAUGAAGAUACCAUGAAGCAUGUUCUGAAUGAGUAAUCAUGAAUCUCAGCUAAGUUCCUUAAUCCUGAUCUCAAUUUUGUGCUACACUAGUUCACACUAUGCAUGCUGAUAUCAUUGAGACUCUACUACUUCACAUAUCUUAAUUAUAAGUGAGACUGAUUAAUUUAAAUUUUCUCUCAUAUACUAGACAGUGAUUAUGAACUCUGAUGUUUUUAUUACCUGAGACAAAACCCCUGAAAAAUAAGCAUGGUACUCCUUUGAGAUCUUAGAUGUUAAUA